rnacentral:snoRNA from 1 species
GUCUUGUCUAUGAUGCCUUUAAACUCAAAUGUCUGAACAAAUGAUUUCCUAUGAUUCAAAUUUCUGACUGAGACAAGAC